UUCCGGUUGAUCCUGCCGGAGGCCAUUGCUAUCGGAGUCCGAUUUAGCCAUGCUAGUCGAGCGAGGUUAGCCCUCGCGGCGAACAGCUCAGUAACACGUGGCCAAGCUACCCUGCAGAGGGGGACAGCGUCGGGAAACUGACGGGAAUCCCCCAUACCGGUCUCACGCUGGAAUGCCGAGACCGACAAACGCUCCGGCGCUGCAGGAUGCGGCUGCGGCCGAUUAGGUAGUCGGUGGGGUAACGGCCCACCGAGCCGAUAAUUGGUACGGGGUGUGAGAGCACGAGCCCGGAGACGGAAUCUGAGACAAGAUUCCGGGCCCUACGGGGCGCAGCAGGCGCGAAACCUUUACACUGCACGAAGGUGCGAUAAGGGGACUCCGAGUGCGAGGGCAUACAGUCCUCGCUAUUGUGUACCGUAGGGUGGUACACGACCAAGAGCUGGGCAAGACCGGUGCCAGCCGCCGCGGUAAUACCGGCAGCUCGAGUGAUGGCCGAUUUUAUUGGGCCUAAAGCGUCCGUAGCUGGCCCUGCAAGUCCGUCGGGAAAUCCACUCGCCUAACGAGUGGGCGUCCGGCGGAAACUACAGGGCUUGGGACCGGAAGACUUGGGGGGUACGUCUGGGGUAGGAGUGAAAUCCUGUAAUCCUGGACGGACCGCCGAUGGCGAAAGCACCUCAAGACGACGGAUCCGACAGUGAGGGACGAAAGCUAGGGUCUCGAACCGGAUUAGAUACCCGGGUAGUCCUAGCCGUAAACGAUGUUCGCUAGAUGUGGCACAGGCUACGUGCCUGCGCUGUGUCGUAGGGAAGCCGAGAAGCGAACCGCCUGGGAAGUACGUCCGCAAGGAUGAAACUUAAAGGAAUUGGGCGGGGGAGCACUACAACCGGAGGAGCCUGCGGUUUAAUUGGAUUCAACGCCG
rnacentral:rRNA from 1 species